CACUGCUGUGUAAAGCCCCGUUCACACCGCCAGCGACUUUUUCGCUGCUUGUCGCUUGUGGCUGGCAAUUGAGGUCGCUUGUGGGCGUUC